CUUCGUCGUCAUCUUCAUCUUCGUCUUCUUCGUCAUCUUCUUCUUCGUUGUCGGUGCCUCCUAUAUUUCCCAUUUGUGAUUUUGAUAAUGAUGAAGAAGAAG
rnacentral:ribozyme from 1 species